UUUUUAGUGGUUUGAGUAGUGUUGGUAUCAGUUUAAUAAUGAAGACAUUCUAUGAGAAGAACAUAAAACAAGCAAUCACCUUCAUCAGACAAAUGGGUGCUAAUGUACAAAAUUCCAUUAGAUAUUUAUUCCAAAAUACUUUUCAAAAACAAUUACGAGACACUCUGUGUUUUGUAGGCAGAGCUAAAGACUGAGAACGGCUGGUUGACCUCCAUAGAACAAGAUGCUCUUGAGAUUUUAAAAAUGUUGGAGAUGUACUAUCCAAUCUAUGUUUAUGAGACUGCAAAGAUGAUUUAUAACAGCUCCAGUGACCACUGGUACCAUCCACCAGUGACCACACUAUCAGCACAGGGAAUGUACUGGACAUGUACCUGGAGACAUUUGGAGGAUGGUUUAAUGGACAGGAUUGUAUUAUCAUCAAAAUCAGGUGACAUGUCAUGCUAUGUUGCUAGAGUUUUUAAAGAGGAUUAACUCCACUGAAGAGUAUCAUUCAACUUGAUCCUUACCUGCAUCACAUGAGUGGGUGUGUAUCAGGGGCUGGUGGUGUUGUAAGUGAUGGAGAAAAAACUGAUAAUGACUACUGAGAGUGAAUAAGAAGAAGCUAAACCAGUCACUGUAUGCUCUAUCUCCUUUUGCUCUGAUCUUUUAUGUUCCUCCUCUGUCUCCUCAUUCCCCUCUAUCUCUUUCCCCCUCUCUCCCUCUCCUCUCUCUCUCAUUUCAGGUAAUGUUUGGUAUUAGUCGUUCAUAAUUAAUCAUUUAUUGUCACUAAUCAUUUAUCAUCACUUAUUAUCCUACUCUAA